rnacentral:rRNA from 1 species
AUACGGAGGGUGCAAGCGUUAUUCGGAAUCACUGGGCGUAAAGGACGCGUAGGCGGGUUGGCAAGUCAGAUGUGAAAUCCUACAGCUUAACUGUAGAACUGCAUUUGAAACUGCUAACCUAGAGUAUGGGAGGGGGAGAUGGAAUUAGUGGUGUAGGGGUAAAAUCCGUAGAUAUCACUAGGAAUACCGAAAGCGAAGGCGAUCUCCUGGAACAUAACUGACGCUAAGGCGUGAAAGCGUGGGGAGCGAACAGGAUUAGAUACCCUAGUAGUCC